UCAGAUUGAACGCUGGCGGCAUGCCUUACACAUGCAAGUCGAACGGCAGCACGGGUGCUUGCACCUGGUGGCGAGUGGCGAACGGGUGAGUAAUACAUCGGAACAUGUCCUGUAGUGGGGGAUAGCCCGGCGAAAGCCGGAUUAAUACCGCAUACGAUCCAUGGAUGAAAGCGGGGGACCUUCGGGCCUCGCGCUAUAGGGUUGGCCGAUGGCUGAUUAGCUAGUUGGUGGGGUAAAGGCCCACCAAGGCGACGAUCAGUAGCUGGUCUGAGAGGACGACCAGCCACACUGGGACUGAGACACGGCCCAGACUCCUACGGGAGGCAGCAGUGGGGAAUUUUGGACAAUGGGCGAAAGCCUGAUCCAGCAAUGCCGCGUGUGUGAAGAAGGCCUUCGGGUUGUAAAGCACUUUUGUCCGGAAAAGAAAAUCCUGAGGGCUAAUAUCCUUCGGGG
rnacentral:rRNA from 1 species